GGAGAGGUCGCAUAGUGGCCUAGUGCGCUCGCUUGGAAAGCGAGUAUACCGAAAGGUAUCGCGAGUUCGAAUCUCGCCCUCUCCG
rnacentral:tRNA from 1 species